rnacentral:rRNA from 1 species
GAUGAACGCUGGCGGCGUGCCUAAUACAUGCAAGUCGAGCGAACGGACGAGAAGCUUGCUUCUCUGAUGUUAGCGGCGGACGGGUGAGUAACACGUGGAUAACCUACCUAUAAGACUGGGAUAACUUCGGGAAACCGGAACUAAUACCGGAUGAUAUUUUGAACCGCAUGGUUCAAAAGUGAAAGACGGUCUUGCUGUCACUUAUAGAUGGAUCCGCGCUGCAUUAGCUAGUUGGUAAGGUAACGGCUUACCAAGGCAACGAUGCAUAGCCGACCUGAGAGGGUGAUCGGCCACCCGGGAACUGGGACAGGGUCCAGACUCCUAAGGGAGGCAGCAGUAGGGAAUCUUCCGCAGUGGGCGGAAGCCUGACGGAGCAACGCCGCGUGAGUGAUGAAGGUCUUCGGAUCGUAAAACUCUGUUAUUAGGGAAGAACAUAUGUGUAAGUAACUGUGCACAUCUUGACGGUACCUAAUCAGAAAGCCACGGCUAACUACGUG